rnacentral:rRNA from 1 species
AUGCAGCGGCAAGGGGAGUCCGGCGAGGACAUCGUGAUCGUGGGAGCCGGGCUCACCGGGCUCGCCGCCGCGCUCAGGCUGCACGGGAAAGGGGUGAGGAGUGUGGUGCUGGAGUCGUCCCCGGCGCUCCGGGCCUCGGGGUUCGCCUUCGCCACCUGGCCCAACGCCUUCCGCGCGCUCGACGCCGAACCAGAUCAGGAAGCUCCACCUGCACAUCCAAGGGCUGCGCGUCAUGUCAGCGUCCACGGGUGA